rnacentral:rRNA from 1 species
UGAUCAUGGCUCACAUUGCACGCUGGCGGCAUGCCUUACACCUCUUCGUCGAACGGCAGCACGGGUACUUGUACCUGGCGGCGAGUGGCGAACGGGUGAGUAAUACAUCGGACCGUACCUUAUCGUGGGGGAUAACGCAGCGAAAGCUGUGCUAAUACCGCAUACGAUCUCAGGAUGAAAGCAGGGGACCGCAAGGCCUUGUGCUCCUGGAGCGGCCGAUAUCUGAUUAGCUAGUUGGUGGGGUAAAGGCCCACCAAGGCAACGAUCAGUAGCUGGUCUGAGAGGACGACCAGCCACACUGGAACUGACACACGGUCCCCACUCCUACGGGAGGCAGCACUGGGGAAUUUUGGACAAUGGGGGCAACCCUGAUCCAGCAAUGCCGCGUGAGUGAAGAAGGCCUUCGGGUUGUAAAGCUCUUUUGUCAGGGAAGAAACACCGGCUCUAACACAGUCCGGGAAUGACGGUACCUGAACAAUACUCACCGGCUAACUACGUGCCAGCAGCCGCGGUACUACGUACGGUGCAAGCGUUAAUCGGAAUUACUGGGCGUCAAGCGUGCGCAUGCGGUUAUACAAGACAGGCGUGAAAUCCCCGGGCUUAACCUGGGAAUGGCGCCUGUGACUGUAUAGCUAGAGUGUGUCAGAGGGGGGUAGAAUUCCACGUGUAGCAGUGAAAUGCGUAGAUAUGUGGAGGAAUACCACUGGCGAACGCAGCCCCCUGGGAUACACUGACGCUCAUGCACGAAAGCGUGGGGAGCCAACAGGAUUAGAUACCCUGGUAGUCCCACGUCUCUAAACGAUGCUGACUAACUGUUCGGGAAUUUUCAAUCCUGAGUAACGCAGCUAACGCGUGAACUCAGCUGUCCUGGGGAGUAC